rnacentral:rRNA from 1 species
UACGAAGGGGGCUAGCGUUGUUCGGAAUUACUGGGCGUAAAGCGCGCGCAGGCGGUCUUCCAAGUCAGUGGUGAAAGCCCGGAGCUCAACUCCGGAACUGCCAUUGAAACUGUGAGACUUGAGGAUGAGAGAGGUGAGUGGAAUUCCCAGUGUAGAGGUGAAAUUCGUAGAUAUUGGGAAGAACACCGGUGGCGAAGGCGGCUCACUGGCUCAUUUCUGACGCUCAGGCGCGACAGCGUGGGGAUAAAACAGG